rnacentral:piRNA from 1 species
UCCAUCUGCACCCUUUCUCCGUGUG